rnacentral:misc_RNA from 1 species
ACAGCAAAUCAUGUCAAGUACCGUAACUAAAAUCCUAUGAUCAAGUGGCCACAAAAUGGAAGCUCCACUGAAUUCCUUGCAUACCAAAGCCCACCUGCUACCCGAAAUCACCAUAGCCCAAUUUCCAAAGACUCCUGCAUGAGCACUGAGCAGCAACAAACAGCAACUACCAUCUUCCUUUUAGGAUUCGGCUCGUCUUCUGUUUAACAACCAACUUCACACCUUGAAAGUGUAGCAGGGAAGGACUCUGUUUCUGAAAUGGCAAAGGAGAUUAAAGAUUUGAGUUGUUGGAUUGAAAUUGCACCAGCCCUUUUCAUAUCUCUGCACAAGAAUAGUAAUUCUCCUGGGCUAGAGACUAUUCCAGAAGAUCAGACCGAGAAUACGGAAGAUGACUCAGAAUUUUAAUGCUCCUCUUCCCCUGUACCUCUCUGAUUUUUUUUUUUUCGUACUCUCAUGGGACAAAUUGGCUGCGAAUAUGUGGUCCAUCAGGUCAUGUAAUAGCGUUCAACUUUGUGCAAUCAAAUUAAAUGGAAUUUUGAUUGUAUUUCUUCCGUUUCUUCUUAUUCAUUCUCAACAAGGAGCUAAUUUCUUUAAUUUGAAAUUUCUAUUCCCAUGAAAUUGUGAAAUAUCUAUUUCAUAAAAUAUAUGUUUUUAAUAAUAAAAAAUCUUAAUUCAAG